rnacentral:rRNA from 1 species
AUUGAACGCUGGCGGCAGGCCUAACACAUGCAAGUCGAACGGUAACAGGAAGAAGCUUGCUUCUUUGCUGACGAGUGGCGGACGGGUGAGUAAUGUCUGGGAAACUGCCUGAUGGAGGGGGAUAACUACUGGAAACGGUAGCUAAUACCGCAUAACGUCGCAAGACCAAAGAGGGGGACCUUCGGGCCUCUUGCCAUCGGAUGUGCCCAGAUGGGAUUAGCUAGUAGGUGGGGUAGCGGCUCACCUAGUCUUCGAUGGAUAGGGGUUCUGAGAGGAAGGUCCCCCACAUUGGAACUGAGACACGGUCCAA